UGGUCUAUUGGACCUAGAAAACGCUUAAAACGAUGUUUCAGGAGCAGUCAAAUCACGUGAUCACAGCCAGACCGCAAGAGAAACCCCGAAGAACAAAGAGAGGAGGUGAUGAAGAUGUUUCUUCUGUGGAUAUAGCUAUGCAUUAUGAAAUGAAGAUGAAGAAAAGACCUUCAACUGCAAACCAAUGACACAAAAAAGGAUGGACUCUGGAGUGCAGCAUUACUUCAAUAAGAUGAAAAUAACUCACUCCUCUAUGAUUCACGAUGUCAAGCCCCCUGGACGCAAAGAGAGUCUGCAUCAAAAUGGACGUGAACCUGAUUGAAAACACAGGAUGUCAAAAGUAUCUGUUGGCUGUCUACUUUUUGUUCAAUAUGGAGCAUCCAAAAGCCAGUUUCUUUCAUUCAGCACUAUUUAGCCCUUCUCAGUACUGAAUUUACUAUGGGUCAUUUGUUUUUAUUGUUUAAAUGCUUAUCUGAAUGUUAAAUUAUCAUUUAACGCUUAUGAAUUUAAAAACAAUUCUACUAGCUAGUCUU